rnacentral:rRNA from 1 species
GACGAACGCUGGCGGCGUGCUUAACACAUGCAAGUCGAACGGAAAGGCCCUGCUUUUGUGGGGUGCUCGAGUGGCGAACGGGUGAGUAACACGUGAGUAACCUGCCCUUGACUUUGGGAUAACUUCAGGAAACUGGGGCUAAUACCGGAUAGGAGCUCCUGCUGCAUGGUGGGGGUUGGAAAGUUUCGGCGGUUGGGGAUGGACUCGCGGCUUAUCAGCUUGUUGGUGGGGUAGUGGCUUACCAAGGCUUUGACGGGUAGCCGGCCUGAGAGGGUGACCGGCCACAUUGGGACUGAGAUACGGACCAGACUCCUACGGGAGGCAGAAGUGGGGAAUAUUGCACAAUGGGCGGAAGCAUGAUGCAGCAACGCCGCGUGCGGGAUGACGGCCUUCGGGUUGUAAACCGCUUUCGCCUGUGACGAAGCGUGAGUGACGGUAAUGGGUAAAGAAGCACCGGCUAACUACGUG